ACGCAGCACUCUUCCUUCUUCUCUUUUCUUUCUUUCUUCUUUCCUCUUCUCUGUUCUUCAUUUCCCUUCCACCCGAGAGACACCAAACAGAGAGAGAUGCGGAGAAUGAGAGAGUGAGAUCAAGAGAUUGAGAGGGAUGAGACUCGGGAGAGAGAGAGAGAGAGAGAGAGAGAAAAGAGCAGAUCCGGUGGAUCCGUGAGGGAGACCCGAGUGAGACCCGGUCCUUCUGGAGGUCCGGUUGGUGGCUAGAUGACGGUGGUCGGCGCUGGUGAAGCAGUGGGUCGAAUUUCGGUGACUCCUAGUGCGAUUUUCGAUGAUUUGUGGGGAUUUUUCUAUAGGAUAGUGUCCAGAUUGGAGACUUCAUGGGGUUCUCCAAUAUUGAGUUCGAGUCAAGAGUCCAAUGCAGCCAAGGUACUUGGGUCGUAGUUGAUGGGAGUGUAGACGUGCAUUUGAGAUAUUAUGACCAGAGCUCGCCGCGACGGUCGUAAAUGCGGGACCAUGGGCGUCCUCAGCUUUAUAGGUUUUGUUAUGGCUUGUGACGCAUGUGUCACUCGUUAUUGUAUAAAGCCAUUUCUAUUAUGUAUUUAUAUUGAGGAAAGACUUAAACACGUAGAUGUUAAAUGGCUCUUGUUGUUAUUAAUUUAUGAUAGAUGUUUA